GAGUUUGAUCGUGGCUCAGAUUGAACGCUGGCGGCAUGCCUUACACAUGCAAGUCGAACGGCAGCACGGGAGCUUGCUCCUGGUGGCGAGUGGCGAACGGGUGAGUAAUGCAUCGGAACGUAUCCUGGAGUGGGGGAUAACGUAGCGAAAGUUACGCUAAUACCGCAUAUUCUGUGAGCAGGAAAGCGGGGGACCUUCGGGCCUCGCGCUCUUGGAGCGGCCGAUGUCGGAUUAGCUAGUUGGUGAGGUAAAGGCUCACCAAGGCGACGAUCCGUAGCAGGUCUGAGAGGAUGAUCUGCCACACUGGAACUGAGACACGGUCCAGACUCCUACGGGAGGCAGACAGUGGGGAAUUUUGGACAAUGGGGGCAACCCUGAUCCAGCCAUGCCGCGUGAGUGAAGAAGGCC
rnacentral:rRNA from 1 species